GAUGAACGCUGGCGGCGUGCUUAACACAUGCAAGUCGAACGAACCUUCGGGUUAGUGGCGGACGGGUGAGUAACGCGUGGGAAUCUGCCCUCAGGAGGGGGAUAACGGUUGGAAACGGCCGCUAAUACCCCAUAUGCCGAGAGGUGAAAUGAAUUUCGCCUGAGGAUGAGCCCGCGUCUGAUUAGCUAGUUGGUGAGGUAAGAGCUCACCAAGGCAUCGAUCAGUAGCUGGUCUGAGAGGAUGAUCAGCCACACUGGGACUGAGACACGGCCCAGACUCCUACGGGAGGCAGCAGUGGGGAAUUUUCCGCAAUGGGCGAAAGCCUGACGGAGCAACGCCGCGUGAGGGAUGAAGGCCUCUGGGCUGUAAACCUCUUUUAUCAAGGAAGAAGAUCUGACGGUACUUGAUGAAUAAGCCACGGCUAAUUCCGUGCCAGCAGCCGCGGUAAUACGGGAGUGGCAAGCGUUAUCCGGAAUUAUUGGGCGUAAAGCGUCCGCAGGCGGCCCAACAAGUCUGCUGUUAAAAAGUGGAGCUUAACUCCAUCAUGGCAGUGGAAACUGUUGGGCUCGAGUGUGGUAGGGGCAGAGGGAAUUCCCGGUGUAGCGGUGAAAUGCGUAGAUAUCGGGAAGAACACCAGUGGCGAAGGCGCUCUGCUGGGCCAUCACUGACGCUCAUGGACGAAAGCCAGGGGAGCGAAAGGGAUUAGAUACCCCUGUAGUCCUGGCCGUAAACGAUGAACACUAGGUGUCGGGGGGAAUCGACCCCUCCGGUGUCGUAGCCAACGCGUUAAGUGUUCCGCCUGGGGAGUACGCACGCAAGUGUGAAACUCAAAGGAAUUGACGGGGGCCGCACAAGCGGUGGAAUUAGGUGGUUUAAUUCGAUGCAACGCGAAGAACCUUACCAGGGUUUGACAUCCUGCGAAUCUCUUGGAAACUUGAGAGUGCCUUCGGGAGCGCAGUGACGGGUGGUGCAUGGCUGU
rnacentral:rRNA from 1 species